rnacentral:tRNA from 1 species
AGGAAUAUAGUUAAAAAUUAUAAUAUUUAUUUUGCUAAUAAAAGUUAAAAUUUUUUUUUAUUCUUA